rnacentral:rRNA from 1 species
AUUGAACGCUGGCGGCAGGCCUAACACAUGCAAGUCGAGCGAGCGGCGGACGGGUGAGUAUUGUCUGGGAACCUGCCUGUUGGAGGGGGAUAACUACUGGAAACGGUAGCUAAUACCGCAUACCAUCAGAUGUGCCCAGAUGGGAUUAGCUGGUAGGUGGGGUAACGGCGCACCUAGGCGACGAUCCCUAGCCGGUCUGAGGGGAUGACCAGCCACACGGGAACGGAGACACGGUCCAGACUCCUACGGGAGGAAGCAGUGGGGAAUAUUGCACAAUGGGCGCAAGCCUGAUGCAGCCAUGCCGCGGGUGUGAAGAAGGCUUUCGGGUUGUAAAGAACUUAAAGCGGGGAGGCGUUACCCGCAGAAGAAGCACCGGCUAACUCCGUGCCAGCAGCCGCGGUAAUUC